rnacentral:rRNA from 1 species
CCUACGGGAGGCAGCAGUGAGGAAUAUUGGUCAAUGGCCGGAAGGCUGAACCAGCCAAGCCGCGUGAAGGACGAAGGUGCCAAGCAUUGUAAACUUCUUUUGUCAAGGGACAAAAUCAGGCUCGAGAGCCUGACCGAGGGUACUUGAAGAAAAAGCAUCGGCUAACUCCGUGCCAGCAGCCGCGGUAAUACGGAGGAUCCGAGCGUUAUCCGGAUUUAUUGGGUUUAAAGGGAGCGUAGGUGGAUUGUUAAGUCAGUUGUGAAAGUUUGCGGCUCAACCGUAAAAUUGCAGUUGAAACUGGCAGGCUUGAGUACAGUAGAGGUGGGCGGAAUGCGUGGUGUAGCGGUGAAAUGCUUAGAUAUCACGAAGAACUCCGAUUGCGAAGGCAGCUCACUGGACUGCAACUGACACUGAGGCUCGAAAGUGUGGGUAUCAAACAGGAUUAGAUACCCCUGUAGUC